AUAGCAGCAACAAGAAAGUGCCUGAAUUGAUAUAGUUUAUUUAAGCGCUGAUACAAUGCUGCCAGAUCAAAUUUAAUGCCAAGAACAUUUCAGUUUAGGGCAGUCUAUGAACUGAUCUACACGUGGCCAGACAUAU